AACGAACGCUGGCGGCAUGCCUAACACAUGCAAGUCGAACGAGACCUUCGGGUCUAGUGGCGCACGGGUGCGUAACGCGUGGGAACCUGCCCUUAGGUUCGGAAUAACUCCCCGAAAGGGGUGCUAAUACCGGAUAAUGUCUUCGGACCAAAGAUUUAUCGCCUUUGGAUGGGCCCGCGUUGGAUUAGCUAGUUGGUAGGGUAAAAGCCUACCAAGGCGACGAUACAUAGCUGGUCUGAGAGGAUGAUCAGCCACACUGGGACUGAGACCCGGCCCAGACUCCUACGGGAGGCAGCAGUGGGGAAUAUUGGACAAUAGGCGAAAGCCUGAUCCAGCAAUGCCGCGUGAGUGAUGAAGGCCUUAGGGUUGUAAAGCUCUUUUAACCGGGAUGAUAAUGACAGUACCGGGAGAAUAAGCUCCGGCUAACUCCGUG
rnacentral:rRNA from 1 species